AGUCGAGCGAAGCUUUUCAGGUAGUUUACUACAUAAAUAAUGACUGAGCGGCGAACGGGUGAGUAACGCGUGAGCAAUCUACCUUAGUUACUGGGAUAGCCCGAGGAAACUCGGAUUAAUACCUGAUAUUCUUUUUUUCUCGCAUGAAACUUUAAGGAAAGGUCAGCCGAACUAAGAUGAGCUCGCGUUCUAUCAGCUAGUUGGUGAGGUAAAAGCUUACCAAGGCUACGACGGAUAGCUGGUCUGAGAGGACGAUCAGCCACACUGGGACUGAGACACGGCCCAGACUCCUACGGGAGGCUGCAGCAGGGAAUAUUGUGCAAUGAACGAAAGCUUGACACAGCGACACCGCGUGUGGGAUGACGGAUCUAGGAUUGUAAACCACUUUCAGGAGGGAAGAAAAUGACGGUACCUCCACAAGAAGACCCGGCCAACUAUGUGCCAGCAGCCGCGGUAAUACAUAGGGGGCGAGCGUUGUCCGGAUUUAUUGGGCGUAAAGAGCUCGUAGGCGGUUCAACAAGUCGGUCGUAAAAGUUCAGGGCUCAACCCUGAAAUGUCUAUCGAUACUGUUGUGACUAGGAUACGGUAGAGGUGAAUGGAAUUCCGAGCGUAGCGGUGAAAUGCGUAGAUAUUCGGAGGAACACCAAUUGCGAAGGCAGCUCACUGGACCGCGAUCGACGCUGAGGAGCGAAAGCUAGGGGAGCAAACAGGAUUAGAUACCCUGGUAGUCCUAGCUGUAAACGAUGGAUACUAGAUGUAGGAACUGGAUUGACGGUUUCUGUGUCGUAGCUAACGCGUUAAGUAUCCCGCCUGGGGAGUACG
rnacentral:rRNA from 1 species